GAUGAACGCUAGCUACAGGCUUAACACAUGCAAGUCGAGGGGAAACGGCAUUGAGUGCUUGCACUCUUUGGACGUCGACCGGCGCACGGGUGAGUAACGCGUAUCCAACCUUCCCAUUACUGUGGGAUAACCUGCCGAAAGGCAGACUAAUACCGCAUAGUCUUCGAUGACGGCAUCAGAUUUGAAGUAAAGAUUUAUCGGUAAUGGAUGGGGAUGCGUCUGAUUAGCUUGUUGGCGGGGUAACGGCCCACCAAGGCGACGAUCAGUAGGGGUUCUGAGAGGAAGGUCCCCCACAUUGGAACUGAGACACGGUCCAAACUCCUACGGGAGGCAGCAGUGAGGAAUAUUGGUCAAUGGACGGAAGUCUGAACCAGCCAAGUAGCGUGCAGGAUGACGGCCCUAUGGGUUGUAAACUGCUUUUGUAUGGGGAUAAAGUUAGGGACGUGUCCCUAUUUGCAGGUACCAUACGAAUAAGGACCGGCUAAUUCCGUGCCAGCAGCCGCGGUAAUACGGAAGGUCCAGGCGUUAUCCGGAUUUAUUGGGUUUAAAGGGAGCGUAGGCUGGAGAUUAAGUGUGUUGUGAAAUGUAGACGCUCAACGUCUGACUUGCAGCGCAUACUGGUUUCCUUGAGUACGCACAACGUUGGCGGAAUUCGUCGUGUAGCGGUGAAAUGCUUAGAUAUGACGAAGAACUCCGAUUGCGAAGGCAGCUGACGGGAGCGCAACUGACGCUUAAGCUCGAAGGUGCGGGUAUCAAACAGG
rnacentral:rRNA from 1 species